rnacentral:rRNA from 1 species
AACGAACGCUGGCGGCAUGCCUAACACAUGCAAGUCGAACGAUUGCCUUCGGGUGAUAGUGGCGCACGGGUGCGUAACGCGUGGGAAUCUGCCCUUAGGUUCGGAAUAACAGCUGGAAACGGCUGCUAAUACCGGAUGAUAUCGCGAGAUCAAAGAUUUAUCGCCUGAGGAUGAGCCCGCGUUGGAUUAGGUAGUUGGUGGGGUAAAGGCCUACCAAGCCGACGAUCCAUAGCUGGUCUGAGAGGAUGAUCAGCCACACUGGGACUGAGACACGGCCCAGACUCCUACGGGAGGCAGCAGUGGGGAAUAUUGGACAAUGGGCGCAAGCCUGACCCAGCAAUGCCGCGUGAGUGAUGAAGGCCCUAGGGCUGUAAAGCUCUUUUACCCGGGAAGAUAAUGACUGUACCGGGAGAAUAAGCCCCGGCUAACUCCGUG